AACGAACGCUGGCGGCAGGCUUAACACAUGCAAGUCGAACGGUUGUAGCAAUACAGCAGUGGCGCACGGGUGAGUAAUACUUGGGAACGUGCCUUUCAGUCUGGGAUAACCACGGGAAACUGUGGCUAACACCGGAUACUCCCUCCGGGGGAAAGUUUACGCUGAAAGAUCGGCCCAAGCCAGAUUAGGUAGUUGGUGAGGUAAUGGCUCACCAAGCCUACGAUCUGUAGCUGGUCUGAGAGGACGGCCAGCCACACUGGAACUGAGACACGGUCCAGACUCCUACGGGAGGCAGCAGUGGGGAAUAUUGGACAAUGGGGGAAACCCUGAUCCAGCCAUGCCGCGUGAAUGAUGAAGGCCUUAGGGUUGUAAAGUUCUUUUGUCAGGGAAGAUGAUGACGGUACCUGAAGAAUAAGCACCGGCUAACUUCGUGCCAGCAGCCGCAGUAA
rnacentral:rRNA from 1 species